rnacentral:rRNA from 1 species
GACGAACGCUGGCGGCGUGCCUAAUACAUGCAAGUAGAACGCUGAAGCGAGGAGCUUGCUCUUCUUGGAUGAGUUGCGGACGGGUGAGUAACGCGUAGGUAACCUGCCUUGUAGCGGGGGAUAACUAUUGGAAACGAUAGCUAAUACCGCAUAACAAUGGAUGACACAUGUCAUUUAUUUGAAAGGGGCAAUUGCUCCACUAUAAGAUGGACUUGCGUUGUACUAGCUAGUAGGUGAGGUAAAGGCUCAACUAGGCGACGAUACAUAGCCGACCUGAGAGGGUGAUCGGCCACACUGGGACUGAGACACGGCCCAGGCUCCUACGGGAGGCAGCAGGAGGGAAUCUUCGGCAAUGGGGGCAACCCUGACCGAGCAACGCCGCGGGAGUGAAGAAGGGUUUCGGAUCGUAAAGCUCUGUUGUAAGUCAAGAACGGAUGUGAGAGUGGAAAGUGCACACUGUGACGGUAGCUUACCAGAAAGGGACGGCUAACUACGUG